rnacentral:misc_RNA from 1 species
GAUGAAGAACGCAGCGAAAUGCGAUAAGUAGUGUGAAUUGCAGAAUUCAGUGAAUCAUCGAAUCUUUGAACGCACAUUGCGCCCCUUGGUAUUCCAUGGGGCAUGCCUGUUCGAGCGUCAUUUACACCCUCAAGCUCUGCUUGGUGUUGGGCGUCUGUCCCGCUGCUUUGCGCGGACUCGCCUCAAAGGUAUUGGCAGCGAUCAUGCCAGCUUCUCGCGCAGCACAUUGCGCUUCUUGAAGUUCUGGUGGAUCAGCGUCCAUUAAGCUUACCUUCAUGACUUGACCUCGGAUCAGGUAGGGAUACCCGCUGAACUUAAGCAUAUCAAUAAGCGGGGA